rnacentral:lncRNA from 1 species
AGACGGAACUGAUAAUAGAACUAUCGACUCCACCACAGUGGGAACCGAACCGUUCUCUGUGGGAAAGGAAGACAGUUGGACACGGUCCGCCUGUAGGGGGCGCCCAGAGAAGAGAGGACACCGAGGAUUUUGGGUUCCGGAAUAGAGGAUGGGGGCUAACUCAGCGUCAAGAAGGCUACCUCUUCUGCGUCACAAGAACUGGAGAGAAUAUGUGAAAUAUUGGACCCCCAUCCCUGGGAGAAGACACUGGGGGCGGGGUGUGCGGGAGGGACAGGUUCAUUCUCAGCACGACAGCCAAAGUGUCUUCCUCCAAUUCAUCACACCUCCUACCACCAAGAAGACUAUUACUGCCCAAAUACCCAGCGCCAAAUCCUGAAAGCUAGACACGUAUCCACGCGCCUUUGCAAACCCCUAGUCUUCCUAUUCUUCCGAGCGCCAGUCCGGCUCAGUUUUUGGAGACCUAAUACUUUUACUUUGAUUCUGUUUUUAUGUCC